rnacentral:lncRNA from 1 species
UAAGGUUGAGAAGGUAGAUGAACCUACAACAAGAAAAGGAAAGGGAAAAAUUUACAAGUGAUGCAGACUUGUAAUUUUCAUUUAUUGUUAUGAUGAUAAACUUUUAAAUAAUGAUGUGAUGUAAUAAUUUAUUUCCGCACUUGUAUGAUGUUUAAGGUUAGACAACCUGGGAAGAUUUUUAUUUAAUGAUGUAACCCUAAUUAAAGGGAGGAUUUAUGAUUUAGUUUUU